rnacentral:rRNA from 1 species
CCUACGGGAGGCUGCAGUGAGGAAUAUUGGUCAAUGGACGAGAGUCUGAACCAGCCAAGUAGCGUGAAGGAUGACUGCCCUAUGGGUUGUAAACUUCUUUUAUAUGGGAAUAAAAUGUUCCACGUGUGGGAUUUUGUAUGUACCAUAUGAAUAAGGAUCGGCUAACUCCGUGCCAGCAGCCGCGGUAAUACGGAGGAUCCGAGCGUUAUCCGGAUUUAUUGGGUUUAAAGGGAGCGUAGGUGGAUUGUUAAGUCAGUUGUGAAAGUUUGCGGCUCAACCGUAAAAUUGCAGUUGAAACUGGCAGUCGUGAGUACAGUAGAGGUGGGCGGAAUUCGUGGUGGAGCGGUGAAAUGCUUAGAUAUCACGAAGAACUCCGAUUGCGAAGGCAGCUCACUGGACUGCAACUGACACUGAGGCUCGAAAGUGUGGGUAUCAAACAGGAUUAGAUACCCGUGUAGUC